rnacentral:rRNA from 1 species
UACAGAGGUCUCAAGCGUUGUUCGGAUUCAUUGGGCGUAAAGGGUGCGUAGGCGGCGCGGUAAGUCGGGUGUGAAAUUUCGAGGCUUAACUUCGAAACUGCAUUCGGUACUGCCGUGCUUGAGGACUGGAGAGGAGACUGGAAUUUACGGUGUAGUGGUGAAAUGCGUAGAUAUCGGGAGGAACACCAGUGGCGAAGGCGACUACCUGGCCCAUUCUUGACGCUGAGGCGGCGAAAGCUGAGGGGAGCGAACGGGGAU